rnacentral:lncRNA from 1 species
UCCACGCAACCUUUUCCUUUGCUAUGAAGGAAACUGUCCACACACGUUAACGUCAUCCUCUCGCUAUCUUCUCCAUCAGACCACGCACGUCAAAGGGGACUGAGAUUUCUACCUAGAAAAAUUUAGUGGUCUUACCUUCAAAUGAUAGGACAUAUGAAAUAAAUUAGAUCUAAGUAAAUCUAUUACACCAAUACAAAGACAUUGAGUUGUUUUUCAUAAAUUUUCUGAACUGUCUUAGAGGAAGCAGACAUGCAAUACCGAUGAAGCCGAGUCGUUGACGCUUCGGUAUGAACCGAGGGCUCAGACCAUCUCGUCGCUAUGACACAUCUUACAUGCAAAGCUCUUGAGCAACGACUGAUCUAUUCAAUGUUGUGACAGCAAUAAGAGUUGUCAGUAUUUCUUCUUUCCUGUACUAUAAAUACAAACAUACACGCUACACUAUUUUUGAACAAAUUGUAAUGGGUGGCCCUCCUUACAUCUACAACCAGUGUAAUGGAUUUGACCUCAUAAUUUCUCUACUGCCUUUGUGUUUAUAUAGAUGCUCGUUUUCCAAACAAAUACAUCAAUGCAGUCACUUUUAUAUACAUCGACUCGUAUAAUCUUAGUAUUUCUGGACUUAUCCAUCUGGCUUGUUGAUACAUAUGAAUAACAUUAAUAUCACAUCCAUGAGCAAAUGAGUGAAUGUCAUAAUGCGGACCAAACGAGCUAGCUGAAUAGACGGUAGCAAACCUUGCACCGCAGAUAAACGCCUGAGGAGGUGCGCAAUGGAAUUACAUGAAAGGUCAAGAUGACCUCACCUACAUAAAUGUUUCCUUUAUUAUGUUUAUUAAUGUAUGUAUGCCUGCGGAUCCUAAAAAUAUUUAUAUUUAGUUAAAAUGUUUUCCUAUGAAGUUUCUAUGCUAUAUAAGAAAGUUGGCAUGAAAUAUUUGAGGGCAUAUUAUGUUUUGCGGGUUACUCGUAUAGUUGCAUUAGUUCAGAACAAGUGUUUGUAUCUAUAAUAAAUAUAGCAUAUUCGUCUAAAUUCAAUUAACCAGAAAUAAGUAUCAUUAAGGAUUAUAAAUAAGAUAGGUGCGCAUGGGACCGCCUAAGAGACGCGCCAAGGGCGCGUCCCUACC